AUAAGUAAUGUGAAUUGCAGAAUUCAGUGAAUCAUCGAAUCUUUGAACGCACCUUGSGCCCCUUGGUAUUCCGAGGGGCACACCUGUUUGAGUGUCGUG
rnacentral:rRNA from 1 species